rnacentral:hammerhead_ribozyme from 1 species
AUCCAGCUGACGAGUCCCAAGCAGGAUGAAACCUGCGUCCUAGAU